AGCAAUCCACCUGUCUCGGCCUCCAAAGUGCUGGGAUUACAAGCGUGACCCACUGCGCCUAGCCUCCAAAAGUUAUUCUUUAAAUAUAAUUGUUUAAGCUGAUUCUUACAUUUUGAUGGAUAUAUAAUUUCUUAGGGAGUUUUUGGAAAAGAGUUAGGCAGUGUGUUAGCCUCUGGUUAUUUUCUAGAUUUUUAACAUUAAAUUGGACUCCUUGAGAUGAAAGAUACUCUGUAGGUCUAGUAAAUAAAUACAACAACUUGCAAGUGAGUGUCUUGGGUAAAUGCCAGUACUAUUGUUUAUUUUUUUCCACUUAGGUAAUAUAUUUAAAUAUUUGUUUGAGACAGUGUUUACCAUAUUGUUAUAUUCUAGGCCAUUCAUUAGAUAGUUUAUUUAAAACUUACUGGUGUUUAUAUUGUAAUAAACAAGUUAAUUAUCUGUUUUUGUUCUUUCAUAAUUGUCAUGAGACACACUUCAGUUAAAACGUCAUUCCUUUUUUUUCUUCAACUUUACACAAACAUUUUUGAAGUGUUAUGUGAAUUCUUCAAAAAUACAGUAUAUAUUUACUACUGCCAGAGAAUGUAUGCGUUUUAAAUUUGAGUAUUUUAACUCUAACAUCUGUGAACAUUUGAGAUAUGUUUAUGUUUCAAAAUUAAAUUGUGAAAUUAAUGUGGAAUCUACAUCUGGAAAAUGUAUAGGAGUCUCAAAAUUUAGAUGACCAUAUUAAGGAAAAAUACAGGGACUUCAAAUUCAAUUUUAUGUUUUAUUUUCUAGUUCUGGCCUAUGGAGUAGUUUAGGAAUACAGUAUAUUAGCUCUUAAUUAGCAAAGUACACAAAUGCUAAAAUUCAGUUUUUAAUUUAAUUCCAAUGAACUAUAUUGUAGGUAGAUCAUGGGAUGAAAACUUUAACAUGUAAAAUUCUAUUUCAUAUUUUAAAGCCAUGACUAUUUUGAGACCCUCACUGUUACUUGAUUAUUUUUAGUUUUCAAUUAGAUGUUUAGUGUUACAUAGACCUGGCCACAGAGUAGCAUAGCAAAUAGAUGUAUUUACUCACGUAGAAUGUGGGCCAGCAUGAUAUCCUUGGCGUCAUGCCUGUUACCAUAGUUUUUGCUCACUGUUUUUACUAGAGCCCUACUGUCUACUUAGCAUAAGCUUAACAAGGGGAAAAGAAGUCAACCUUUUGGAGGGAAUAAUGGAUUUGCGUGUGUGUGUGUGUGUGUACUUGCAAUUACACGAUUUUAAUUGUGUACAACACUAAUUUGUUGAAACACUGUAGAGUAUAUAAGCACAAACUUAAAAAAAAUCAUGUUAGAAAUUUCAUUCACAUUUUGCAUUUUUCAGGGUGCUAAUAGAUAAGCACCCACACUCAGGUGAACACUGAGUGAGAAGCAUGCUGAUCCAUGAGACUGAGAGUUGGUCCAAACUGAAGGGGGACCACUAGGGUGUUUUAAUUGCAAAGGAGAAGAAAUGCCACUCAAGCCAGCUUUAAAGAGAAAAUGGAAUGACUCACAUACAAAAAUCCAGGGCUCUGGUGCAGUUUGGGGCUGUUCGAUCCAGCGGCUCAGUGUGGUCUUCGAGCAUCCAGGUAUCUUCUGUCUGCCUGUUCGGACAUCUGCAAUAUCAGUUUCACCCACAGACUAGUUUUCUGAGUGGUUGUGGUUUGGCUGCAGCUGAGUCAGGGCUUUGUGCUUCUCUGUUCACAUCCAGUGGGAGAGAGUUUUAUGUCUUGUGGUUCUCUGAAGAGGAGAAACCCAGAAACCCAAACUUCUUGCAUUGUGUUGGUUUGAAUUGAGCCACAUGCCCAUUUCUGAACCAAUUCAUUCCCGGACGGGCUUAGGCCUAGGUUCCUGAACCAAUCUCUACUUAGAGGACCAAAUUACAAUUGCUUAGUGUGGACCAGUUAGAGUCUGUCCAUGGAGCUGGUACCAAUCACUCAAACCAUGCUAUUGCAACACAGUGGGUGGGGGCGAGGAGGCCAACCCUCUAGCCCUGUAUUUGUUGCAGCAUGGGGAGGGAAAGAAGGGAAGAUAAUAGAAUACCACUCUUCAGCAAAAGGCACAAAUCCAACUAAAGACCCAGACUUUCUUUUUCACUUCGUUUCUUUCCAUUCUUUUUCUUUGCCUAUUGAGUAGGCUGCAGAAGCUGCUGUUUGGGAGCUUAUGAGCUCAUUCUGGCUGCUGGUUAUUCCCACUGCUGCUCCAUUCUGGUCUGAAGAUGGAUUGUCCAUUUGAACUCAUGAUUUCCUGCACAGUCACUGCUUAAAUACCAGACAUAUUCGAAUCAGCUUAGGCCUUUGGCCAGUGGUAUCUGUGUCUUUUCUUCCUAAAUCAUGAUGGGCUCAAACCUGCUUUAAAGUACAUCUGCUUAUUUGACUUCCUGAAAUUAUUAAAAUCAGGCAGUGACUUGGGCUUAGACCCUCAGGCUUCAUCCGCCCCAUGGGUCUGGAUGGAUUCUGGUCUAGUUCUUUCCCUGUUAUUCUGUCCUGUCCCAUCUGAGCCUGACAGGCCAUCUCUCUUUCUCCGCAGUCUCCAGCAGAGUCCUCCUUAACUCUCACAGCCCCAGGACAGGACUCUUGCAGCCUACCCCUCUCUGUGGGCACAGUUUGAGGUGCCACUUGUCAAGAGCCACCAAACCGACGUGGCAUGGUCUGUGGCUCCCAGCCCCUUGUCCACCAUCCUCAGUCCCUCGGUUUCCACACCCUUACUCCACACCACGGCCGCUGCAUUAUGAUGCAGUUUCCCAAGCCCAUCUGCUCUCUGGUCUGUGCACAAAGGUCCCCAAUUAUCCAUGAAACCAGGCCAUGCCCGUUCCUCAAGACUGUGCUCAAGCAUCAGCUCUUUCUGGAAAGGAUGCUGCAUUUCUCACACCCAAUGUCCUGUGCUUCGGGACAACUUCCUGUUCCCCCACACAUAGCCUCAAGCACAGGAUCCUCUCCUGCUCUCAUUGUCUGAAUGAUCCAAAUAGAACGUGAAUGAAUUUGUUACUUUAUCAGCUGGCCAGUUUAGAGACUAUGAGGUUUUGUUCAUCAAGCAUUCAAAGAUCAUGAGAUCCCCUUGUUAGAGGAAUCUCUCUCUCUCCUGCAAACCAGGAAGCAGCAUGUGGGAACAGAAAAGACCCGGGUGAGAGUGGAGGUCAGUGAGGUGGAGGGAGCACGGGGAGUAGGCACAGCAGGUGGUGGGUUCUUGCUGCCUGCAGGUGGUACCGUAGGACUGUCACUGGUUGCCUGGCCCCAGAGUGGCUCUGCUGGUUGUCGUAGUGCCAUCAGUGUGAAGGCUGUGUUCAACUUCUCUGCAAGUGGGUGGAUUCCUCUGGUGAUGGAGGACAGGCUCCACAGCUAACAGCUAAUGCAUGUACUCUCAACAGAGUGACAUCAUCCCUGGGGCAAAAGUUUAUUCAAAAGUUGGGGCAAAAAAUCUUGGAAAUGCCAGUGAUUUAUGGUCCUCUAAAGUCCUUCAGUCCAUGACCAAUAUGCAGUAGAUCUGUGUAUUACCGAAGCAGCUCACUGUCUGGGGUGACACCUGAGGUUUUUUUCUCAUGGCCACAGAGAUCAAGGAUGUGGACAUACAAAGGGUGAGGUUAAGAGUAGAAAUUUAAUCGGUAAAAGAACGAGACUAUCGCUCUGCUACAGAGAGGGGUCGUUGCCUAUCCACAGUGAGAUGCGGGGUUUUUAUAAAUGAGCUAGUGGGGAGGUGGUGUCUGAUCUACACAGGACAUGAAAAACCAGUUAGAACCAGGUGUGCUGUCUGCAUAGGGCGUGAAUCUCUGGCAGCCCCCACCCCAAUCUUUUAUUAUGCAGGUGGGUUCUCUGCCUGAGCUUCUCUAUGUUGUCCAUUUCUUACUGUACACAUGCUAACAAAAAAGGGGAGGUGGAGCUUCCACAGUGGACAUGCCUGGCCCCAGGCAGCCUUUUUCUGUUGGUGCAGCUGCGGCAUUCCCCAUGCAAGCUUUCAGCUUCCUUCUCUGUGUUUGCAGCUCAAUCUUUCUGCCUGCUCGUUGUAAGAAGAAAAUGGUUUAUUGGGCUGCUUUUUGUUAGAAGGGAAGUUCUGCUGAGGACUCUUUUGCCCUCACUAUCUGCCUAAAUAAUUUCUUUCUAUCUCUUGUAUCAUUACUACUUUAUGGCAGGGAGUAAUUAGGAAAUAAAUGUCUAAAAGGUUUCUUGAGAAAAGGGUGGCAAUGAUAUGAAGGUUGAGAAAAACUGGGCUAAUGAGUGGUCUGUAAGCCAAGGAAGAGGAAUUCUGACCAGGGAUACGAUGGAAAGUAAUGAAGUUUCUCCAUGCCAAAAGGCACCUGGCCCUGAGGGUGAGUGGGGCUGAGCUCAGCUGCUGUGGAAUGCAGCCCUGAUUCUUAUCCACCCAGAGAAGACCCCUCCUUUAGUUUGCACGUGGCAACUGGGGUGCUUCUGGUUGCCUUGGUCUGCCUGCCCUGCUGCUUGCACUUGGCUGUGUUGGGAGGUUCUGGCUAAAAGAAAAUCAAGAAGUUUGCCUAUCCAUUGCCUGGCAUAUUUUUAUUGGGCAUUUUUUCUUGUAUUAUUAUUUGUAAGUUUUUAAAAAGUUUAAAGUUUUUAAAAUAAGAGUUGGAUUAUGGGCAGGCCAGCCCAGCAGGGAUCUGAUUCACAGAGGGCACUGCAAUCAAUCAGAAAUGUGACCUCAGGACAUGUGAGUCCUUCUAUCACUGGAGACUUAGUGGUCCUGCUCCCGCAGGUGCAGAAAAAUGCUUCUGCAGGAAAGAAGGAGGUGGUGUGGGAGCGAGAAGACACCAACUGGUCCCUGUGCUUUUGUCACUGCAGGUGCUCAAGAGGCUCUCAGUUGAAAGUCAAGGCCAGCUGAAGCUCAGAUGCAUGUCUCUGUCCUGUUUCCUGGGAAUCAGUUAUAUUAUUCUCAGUAGAAACCCUUUCAUUUGCCUUCUGGAUCAUCUAAUCCUGAAAGUCCCAAAGGAAAACUAAAGAGAGAACAAAAACUGCAGAAAAACGAGCGAAGUUUGGAGAAGCCUGGAGUUUGACCCAUACUCUAGACAAGCCUGCCCACUGCACACCGUGUCAGUGCGUCUAGAUGCACUUCACAGUCCUGACAGCAACUCUUCCUGUUCCACAGCAACCCUUCCUGUUCUGCAGCUGCUGCAGGUGAUCCCCAGGCAAGCAGGGUCUGGAGUGGACCUCCAGCAGUCC